AUGACGAUGUCACCGCAUCAUCAUUCAGUGCACAGCUCCGAGGAGCGCAGCCGGCCCUCCCUGCGCACAUUCCGGCACAGAAAAAUGUGGGAUCGAGCUGGAGCUCGGCAGCACGGUGGGCGGGGGUGCUGCAGUCAGCCUCUCACUCGGACAAGGCUCGCAGGGCUGCUGGGAGAGGUCUUUAACCUUUUCUUGUUAAUACUUUGUGGUUCAGCAUUUUCCUCUGGCGUUUCUCAGAUGAUGCCAUGUCUGAUACCUGUGACAGCCACGCACAGCAUGCAGAUGGGCAACCCACUCUCGGGGAGGUGGCAGCAUCCUUCUACCCUCACCAGUUGCCAGGGAAUGGCAGCAGCCAGGGGAAACUCGGUCACAACAGAGAUGAAAAAAUAGUCAAUGGACCUAUAGGAAGGUUUGUUUUGUUCCCACACCAGGCUGGUAGAAGCUGGUCAGAGCAAAGGUUUGCACAGCCCAUUAUCUGAAAAGGGGCUCUUGGGAGAAGAAUAAAAUUAGGGCAGAACCACAAGGGUUCUUACUCACAAACCCUACAAUCUCCAGCAGGAUGAUGUUGAGGAGCUUGGCACCAGAGACAUUUUCUGGGCCUCCAAAAGGUCUUCUUCUGUCAGUGUGCCUGCUUUUCCCUUGGACCCUGUGUUUUCCUCACCACACAAAGGCCCAGCUCUUUGUUGCUGUGGCUGCACAACCCCAAGAAGUGCACAGAGCAGACCUCCUCUUGGAGGGACAUGGGGAGAGCCCUGCCACAAGUGACUGCUGCCACUGUCCCCUCUCCCCAUCUCCUACCAGCCCCCAUCCAUACAGAAUUCCUUCUUGCCCCCAAAGCAGUGCCAGAGUGGAGUGAUAACUUUUUGGUUUUUUGUCAUUCAGGUCCCAAGUGCCCAAGCGGGCAAUGAAAUGGUGACUGUGGGAUGGUGGGCAAGGGCAUGGAGAGUGAGCCACAGAAAUGGCUUUCAACAGCUGGCAGGGAAUAAAAAUAGUUCUGCUGGUGCAUGGCUACAAAAAGGUUUAUGCACUUUGAAGGAGAAAAUUGACUCCAUUACAGUCAAAUGUCUGGACACUUCUGAUUCUCAAGGAAAUUGGUUUUUUUAUGCCUUUUGUUGAGCUCCUUUAGCAGAGACCUGCAGCCCAUGUGCUCAAGUACCUGAUCUUCACACCACUGCCUUCUCUGUGCCCACUGGACCUAUGGGAGGCAGGGAUAACUGCAUCCAAAAUCUCCAAUCUUCCCUUGGUCCUACUAAUGUUUUCCCAGGUGCUUAGAGCCCAUGGUCCCUCCCAUCAUAGACUCUUCUCUGUCUCUGACAGCGAGAGUCUUCUGCAUGUGCUGGGCUGGAUUUCUGACUGCAGAUGCCCCUGAGAGCCAGCAAAGAGCACUCCUACCAACCAUUACUGGGUUUUGGCUUCAUGGCCCCAUCAGAGAUUCUCACCUCCUUCCCACACUGUGGCCCAGGGAGAGCUGGGAUGUCCCAACUCCUCUGAGGUUUGGGACAUGUGAGAUUCAUGGCUCUUUGGGACCGUGCCCAUGCUCCCAGCUGGGACCAGUGGCACCACACACCAUUUUUCUGUGGAAACACUCACCUAGGUGAGGACCCUGGCAUCAGCUGUGCUGCAGGGCUGUGAGUUCCAUGGUACUUUUCCCCAGCCUUGAAGCAUCUGCUUCUCUGAUGGGCUAUGGGGACACCAGCAAGUGCCACCUCUCUCCAGUGAGCCCACACACAUCCACGGAACCCCUGAGAGGGCAUUGCUGUUGCUGGAUCUGGACAUCUGUGAGACAGAAAAAAAAAAAAUCUUUAUCAGAAUUUGUCAGAUUGGACUUGGGAUAGGGGGUUCAGCUUCCAAAGACUUUGAUUAGAGCUACCUGGGUUAAUUGCUGCCCAGAAUU
rnacentral:lncRNA from 1 species